AGGGCUGUAAAUCACCAUUCUGGGCUGGCCGGGCACUUAGCAUAAUGGAAUGAUUGACAGGUGGAUAUUUACACUCAGCUGCCUAAAUGGGCAAAUCAAUCAACUGGUGGCAGUGCAGAAAGAGGGCCACAGGAGGAAUUAACGGGCCCCAGGACCACUGUGGCCACUCCCUGUGGGUGUCAUUGAAGAUGCUGGUAAGUUUUCUUACAGAUCCCUGCUUUGAGGCGAGGAUCUGAUUUAUAACAACACUCCCCUACAGCCUCAUGGCUUUUCCAGCUGUUACCUUUCGUGUGCAAAGCAGCCAUUUCCCCCCUCUCCAGACGAGAAAACUGAGACCCAGAGCAGUAGAGAUGAGACCAACUGCUGGUGACCAAGUCAGACUUACCAACUUACAUUCAAAGGGUUUAGUUCUUCAAAUUAAACAAAGGGGAAAAAAAUGCUCCCCAUUUUUGUCAGAGCCCAGAUGAUUUCUCUUUUUCCGUUCAUCAUUUGGGGCUGAGGGGGACGUAACUCAGUUAAAGACAGAAACAUUAAACGCGCAGUAAAACCAUCACACGUGCAGGAUUGAUAGGGGUAUUGAUUAACGCCAUCAGUAAAGUAUUUACCUUAAUCAAUAGGAAAAGGUGAUUUAAAUGUUUAGGUGUCUACCGCGCUUGAGUCGGCCAAGGCUUCCUUAGGAGCAUGAUUUCAUGUGAUGCACGCCUCCCUUCGCCCGUGUGCGCCCCUUAGCAAAGUUAAUUGCCACGGCUGAAGCCCCCUCUCCACACCACCAUGGUUGCUUUUGAGUCCUGUUGCAGGUUGGGUUCUCCUGGAGGAGAUUCUGAGCUGGAGUUUUGGGUGCAAGAUGUUUGGUUAAGAAUCGGCGUCUGUGAGGGAAUGGGAGGAAAUGAGUGGGCAGAGGAAGAAGUUGAAGGGUGAGGCAGCCCCACAAAGACACGGUCAAGGGACUGGAGCUCUGGAGCCAGAGGUGCCCCUCAGUGGGCAUCAGGCCCUUGUACCCCUACCCCACCCAGUUGCCCGCCUCCCCAGGAAGGGCAUGACCUUGGGCGAGGGGUCUCUCUGCCGCUCAGGCAGACGCUGAAGGAGCUGAGAGCUGGAAGCUGCCUGCAGACCCCACUUCCCACAGCUGGGCAGCCAGGCCUCCCCGGAAGGGAGGUCUGGGAAGCAUAUUCCCCAGUCGGCCACAACCCCAGAGGGUAUCCAAACGCCAUCACAUGCUAACCCUGACUGCUGGGAGGCUUUGUUCAAAGGAGGCGGUCCAUCAGGGGCUGUUUGAAACCAAGGUUGACUAUUUCUCCUAAUGCACUCUGGACCCAUUGGGACUCUGCGGUGACGUGGUUGAGGUGUAGAAACUUCUAGUCAUUUAGGGAUAUUGGAAAAGACACUUGGCCAGGAGGUCGCCUGAAUUCUAGCCCCACGUUAGAACCUUCUUUCUGAGUGUCACUUUCUCAGGCCCCUUCCCUGUGCUGGGCUUCAGACUCCACAUCUUACAAAAAGGGUAUGUUGCCUUAGAAGCGUGUUGCCCGACUUUCCCAGCCACUGGAAUGCCCUGUGGAACAUUUAUUUAAAUUCAGGUUCCAGACCCCUACCUGAAAUCUCCGGGGAAGCAGCCUAGGAGUCUGGCUUUUUCAUCAGAGCCACAGAUGAUCCUUAUGACCUGCUGAUUGUGAAAGUGGACUAGGAGCCCCUCAGCCAGACCAGCUGUGUCGGGUUCACCAGGAAAAGUUCGCAAGGUGGAGAUCCUCCAGCCCCGUGCCGGAAGAUUUUGAUUCAAAUUCUGCAUUUAAAUAUAAACAGCAAUGAUGAUAAUCAAUAGAACAGAUCAAUUGCAUUCCUGGCCCUAAUUCUUCCCUUGUAACCCCGCCCUUCUCACGUGACUUUGAUUUCCCAAAACUGUAGAGUAUAUUUCCCUCCCCGCAAUGUGACACGUUUGGCCGAUAGAAGAGGUGGGUAGGAGAGACUGUGCAUCAGUUCCAGUCCUUGGCCUCCAGAGGCCUGGCCUAUUUCUACCUACUCAUUUGUGCUCCUGUCAUCGCCACGAGAAGUUCAUGCCCGGCCUGGUCUGUUGGUCCCAGGAGAAGGACAAGAGAUACACGUGGAGCAGAGCUGCCCAGCUACCGUGUGCCGGCCGAGCCCAGCCUUGAGCUGACCCCCAGCCGACCUGCAGGUGCAUGAGUGCACCAGCCUGGAUCAGCCAACCUCCAGCUGCCCCCAAGACUAACGGCACGAGUUGUCUCAACUUCAGGCAUCUCAGUUUCCUUAUCUGGGAAACGAAGAUGAAGUUGGCUGUCCCAGAGCGGUGGUGAAAAUCAAACGUGGGGACGUGCGUGGGGCGUUGCAUGGCAGGAUUCCUUGGUGAUAUCUGGUGAAUAAUUACAACACAGAGCCAGUGAAGACCACGGCCUCGGGAAUCCGAUUUCCUGCACUUAAACCCUGUCUUCACCACCUGCGUGUCCCUGCGUAAGUGACUUACCCUAUCUCAGGCUUGGUUCCUCGUCCCUGCAAUGGGGGUGGUCCCAGCGUCCACCUCACACGACCGCCCUGGAGCUUAAAUGAGGUUGUGCCAGCAGAGCCUGGCCCAAGGCUGGCACAGGCCAUGACCUCAAUAACCAGGAGCUAUGACUCGGCUUGUUUAAACCUCAGCACCCACAGAGGCACUUCCAGAAACACCAGAGGAGGGCCAGCACGUGAUCUUGGACUUGUCUGGGAAGGAUAAUGUGCGUAUUGAGGACAAGCAGACUUUACUUGCAGACUCAAAUGGGACACCCUACUUGAGCUAGACUAGGGCGGGUUUAGGGAGACCCCCGAAAACAAGUCAUACCCACAUGGGUCACAUAGACUGCUCCCUCUCUCCUGGCCUGUGGUGUCGGCUGAGCCCAGUGAGUUAGAAAAGCAGAGAACAUCUAGUUCUAAGAAUCAGAAUACCUACGAAAAGAUCAGUCGAGCCGCAAAAUAUUAUCUUAAAAUUAAAAUAUAAGUCAGUGGGAAAUUAAUUUCACCAAAUGUUCCAGACCAUUUCGGAUGUCAAACAGGGGGCAUCCCGGGCACGUUCUAAAGCAGUGGUUUCCAAAGCAGGAUCCUUGAUCCUGCAGCAAAUUUGCAGGUCCCACCACAAUCCUACGGAAUCAGAAAUUCUGGGCAGGGCAUCAGCCUUCGUGUUUCAAUGAGCAGCGGGGCAUCUGGAUACAUGCUCCUUCGAGAAUCACAGCCCUUAUGGGAAGAAGUGGAUGCAGCUGACAGACAUGUCUGUCUGUGUCCUGGGAGCUCAGACCUCCCGCGUCAUACACACCCCCUGCUCUCCCUCCUCCCUUGUCACACUUACAAACUAUCUUCUCUUCUUCAAAACUGAUCACCAGCCAGUGGAAGGUGUCCGUUUCUACAUCCAGUCUCUAGGACAAAAGCAGAUUUGCCAGGAGUUGCAGAACCCAGCACCGCAGUCCUAUCACGGGCCGCUAUCAGACAAAUCAAAAGUGCCGGACAUUCUGCAAACUACCUGACCGAUACUCCUCCAAACCGUCAAGGGCAGGCAAAACAAGGACAGUCCGAGAAGCUGUCACAGAGUGGAGAAGACUAAGGAGACAGGACGUCUGAGUGACACGGCAUCCUGCAUUCCACAGGAGCAGGGAAACGGGGAAGUUCAAAUAAUGUGGGAGCUGUGUUCACAGAAACGUGCCGCUGUUGGUUUAUGCUGUGGUGCUGUGUGAUAAUGUUAGGGAAGCUGGAUGAAAG
rnacentral:lncRNA from 1 species